rnacentral:rRNA from 1 species
AGGGAAUCUUCGGCAAUGGACGGAAGUCUGACCGAGCAACGCCGCGUGAGUGAAGAAGGUUUUCGGAUCGCAAAGCUCUGUUGUAAGAGAAGAACGAGUGUGAGAGUGGAAAGUUCACACUGUGACGGUAACUUACCAGAAAGGGACGGCUAACUACGUGCCAGCAGCCGCGGUAAUACGUAGGUCCCGAGCGUUAUCCGGAUUUAUUGGGCGUAAAGCGAGCGCAGGCGGUUAGAUAAGUCUGAAGUUAAAGGCUGUGGCUUAACCAUAGUACGCUUUGGAAACUGUUUAACUUGAGUGCAGAAGGGGAGAGUGGAAUUCCAUGUGUAGCGGUGAAAUGCGUAGAUAUAUGGAGGAACACCGGUGGCGAAAGCGGCUCUCUGGUCUGUAACUGACGCUGAGGCUCGAAAGCGUGGGGAGCAAACAGGAUUAGAUACCCUGGUAGUCCACGCCGUAAACGAUGAGUGCUAGGUGUUGGGUCCUUUCCGGGACUCAGUGCCGCAGCUAACGCAUUAAGCACUCCGCCUGGGGAGUACGACCGCAAGGUUG